rnacentral:rRNA from 1 species
UGGGGGAUAUUGCACAAUGGGCGAAAGCCUGAUGCAGCGACGCCGCGUGGGGGAUGAAGGCUUUCGGGUUGUAAACCUCUUUCGCUAUCGAACAAGGCCCGCUUAUGGUGGGUUGAGGGUAGGUGGAGAAGAAGCGCCGGCUAACUACGUGCCAGCAGCCGCGGCAAUACGUAGGGCGCGAGCGUUGUCCGGAAUUAUUGGGCGUAAAGGGCUUGUAGGCGGCUUGUUGCGCCUGCUGUGAAAACGCGGGGCUUAACUUCGCGCGUGCAGUGGGUACGGGCAGGCUUGAGUGUGGUAGGGGUGACUGGAAUUCCAGGUGUAGCGGUGGAAUGCGCAGAUAUCUGGAGGAACACCGAUGGCGAAGGCAGGUCACUGGGCCAUUACUGACGCUGAGGAGCGAAAGCAUGGGUAGCGAACAGG